rnacentral:tRNA from 1 species
UUUCUGGUGAUCCAGUGGCCAAGACUCUGCACUCCCAGUGCGGGGGGCCCAGGUUCAAUCCCUGGUCAGGGAA